rnacentral:rRNA from 1 species
CGGCGAGUGAAGCGGCAUCAGCUUAAUCGAUAAUCCACGGUCCUUCUGGGCCUGGAAUUGUAGUCUUGUGGGUUGAACGGCGCUGAUCGGCGGCCAAUUCGAUGGAAAUCGAGGUCACAGAGGGUGAUAGCCCCGUAUGUCUGCCGGGUCGGCGUCGUAGUUUAACCUACUAUCGAGUAGCGUUCCUUGGGAUUGGAGCGUGAAGCGGGUGGUGAUAUCCAUCUAAAGCUAAAUAUUGGCGAGAGACCGAUAGCGAACAAGUACCGUGAGGGAAAGAUGAAAAGCACUUUGGAGAGAGAGUUAAAUAGUAUGUGAAAUCGUUGGAAGCAAGCGAAUCAGUGUGCUUGGGCGCGGUCCUGCGUUUCGGGUGCUCGUCUCUGCGUGUGGUCCCUCGGGAUCGCCGCUCUGGCUGCCAGCGCCCGGUCGCGGGAUGAGGUUUUGGCGUCUUUACGCAUUCUGAUCCGACCCGUCUUGAAACACGGACCAAGGAGUCUAAUAUGUGUGCGAGUACUCGGGUGACAAACCCCUGUGCGCAGGCAACUCAAAUCGCGUUAGUCUUUUUGACGCAUCGCGGGUAGUGUUUUAUUCCCUAACAAGAGC